UGGGGGAAUUUUGGACAAUGGGCGAAAGCCUGAUCCAGCAAUGCCGCGUGUGUGAAGAAGGCCUUCGGGUUGUAAAGCACUUUUGUCCGGAAAGAAAUCCUUGGCUCUAAUACAGUCGGGGGAUGACGGUACCGGAAGAAUAAGCACCGGCUAACUACGUGCCAGCAGCCGCGGUAAUACGUAGGGUGCAAGCGUUAAUCGGAAUUACUGGGCGUAAAGCGUGCGCAGGCGGUUUGCUAAGACCGAUGUGAAAUCCCCGGGCUCAACCUGGGAACUGCAUUGGUGACUGGGCAGGCUAGAGUAUGGCAGAGGGGGGUAGAAUUCCACGUGUAGCAGUGAAAUGCGUAGAGAUGUGAGGAAUACCGAUGGCGAAGGCAGCCCCCUGGGCCAAUACUGACGCUCAUGCACGAAAGCGUGGGGAGCAAA
rnacentral:rRNA from 1 species